rnacentral:rRNA from 1 species
GACAGAGGGUGCAAACGUUGUUCGGAUUUACUGGGCGUAAAGCGCGUGUAGGCGGCUUGGCAAGUUGGAUGUGAAAGCCCACGGCUCAACCGUGGAAGCGCAUCCAAAACUGCUUCGCUGGAGUCUCGGAGAGGAAGGUGGAAUGCUUGGUGUAGAGGUGAAAUUCGUAGAUAUCAAGCAGAACACCUGCGGCGAAGGCGGCCUUCUGGACGAUGACUGACGCUGAGACGCGAAAGCGUGGGGAGCAAACAGG